CCUGACUCGGGGCUCAAACUCACAAACCGUGAAAUCAUGACCUGAGCUGAAAUCAAGUGUCAGACGCUUAGGCAACUGAGCCGCCCAGGCAACCCUAAGAGUUUGCAUUUUUAACCAGCACUCGGAAUACCUUAGUCUGUUUAGGAGGUCCUGGAGAUACGGGAUUACUUCAGCGCAGUGGUUCUCAAACAGGUGUGAAGAAUAAACCACCCCCAUGGAGGUUACUGACGGCACUGCCAACCCCUCCAGCCCCCACAUUUCUGGUUUUAGACCCACUGGUUGGGUUUUCUCACCCCCUCACUUUCGUGGAUAAGGUAAGACUGCAGACCUCUUCGUUCCAUCCUGGUGCCUAUCUGCCCUGAUGUGCAGCUCUGGGCUGAGGCAGCCCCACAGGGCUCACCGACUCUCAGAGGCAUGAAACGGAGGGAGGCGCCCCGAAGUCCUUGCUGACGGAGCAGGGAUCACAAAGCUCCAGCGAUUACUGCUCCUUAAUCAGAUGGUUAUUGCAUUGCCGGGGCUGGCUCUUGCUGGCUCUUAGCAGCGUGCAGCCGCCCCAGUCAGUACAGUGAAGGAGGCUUUUUUGCUUCCGUGAACCCAUGGGGACAGUGGAUGGUGCCUUCCUUUCUCUCCCAACUCCGGCACACUGAGAGGAGGAAAGCACAUUCCUGGAACUGGACAUCGUCAGAGAAUAAAACAGAUGACCCAAGUUGGAAACCUAUAUACGGUCAAACCUUGGAUUGUGAGUAACUUGUUCUGCGAGGAUUCCGCAAGACGAGCAAACAUUUCUAAUAAAUUUUAACUUGAUAAACGAGCGAUGUCUUGCAACGCGAGUGGUGUGUGAUGACGAAUGUCACAUGAUCACAACUGAGCCAAUGUUGUCUCUCUUUCUCUCUCUCUCUCGCUGCAGGAGUGUGGGCGAUUGUCUCCUGUGCUCGGAUGCUCUAUCUCAGGCCGUGGCAUUUGGCAGAAAUCAGUGAUUUUUCAGAACGUUGGAAGGUACCCACAACGGCACUAGUAUAUUUCUUGUCACUUCAAAGCACCUACGGCCAGUCCUUUGCUUUUCCAUACAAGAGUGAGCUCAGGAAUGCUUUGCUUCAUUCCAGGUCAGGCUGCCUGCAGAUACAGACCCUUUCCUCAGCUGCCUCAUUGCCAGUUACAUUAAAUACAGUCUGUGACAACAGUUUAUUAAUACUGUACUGUGGUCAAUAUCUAUGCGAGCGUAUACGGUGACCCCAUGCAGAAAAGUAUUCCAUGGAGCCUACAGACGGCAGUGACUCCGUUAGUGAUAGUGGAAGUCGUCCUACACAUUAACCCUCCUCUCCCAUGUCUCCCUCACACCAGUCAUGAAGGUUUUCAGAGCGGUCAACGGCUGAACCCAGGAUCAAGGAGUACACUCUGCCUCUUGAUGGCAAAGGGUGCGGAUACGAGGAAUGACAUAGCAUCGUGGUCGCUGACGCCAUGCGUCACACUUGCCGAGAGAUGCUGCUUUCCCUCUUUCAUCGGGCGCCAGAAUCUCCCACCAGGAACGGUGUCACCCUUAGUGUUGGGAUGGGAGGAAUUUAAGUGAGAGCCCCUAGGUGUACUCAGAACGAUUGCUCUCCUCCAAGAAUGUGGUCAAACUGGAGUCUGUCUUCUUCCCAAGACAACCUCGGGGAAUACUAAUGAGGAUGACCAUGAGCCCAAGCAGGUUGAAAAAGUGAACAGAAUGGUAGAGAAAGAAUGCAUCUUCCAAAGAAUGACUCCCUUUCACCGUUCCUCCGGCAUUGACCGCUGCUAUCGAAUCUUCUUCCUUUGACAAGAGCAGGAAAGUUUCAGGAUCUGACAUUGAAUAAUGCUGCAGCAAGCAUGUACGCGCAAAUAUCUCCUCAAGAUCCUGUUUUCCAUUAUUUUGGGUAUAUAACCAGAAGUGGGACUGCUGGAUCAUAUGACCUGUGCGGGAAUUUUUCUCGGCGGGAUUGCUCAGUGAUGGGCCAUCCACAUACUUAGUUUUACGACGGGUUGCCAAAUUGCUUUCAAGGUGCAUGUCCUCAGCCAAGAUUCAUCGAGCACGAACCUCCUGCCAGGUGCUAUUCUAUCCACAGAGGAUUUAGCCGUGAACGGAGUCCUUGCCUUCAGCGAGCUUACGGUCAAAUGAGGGAGACAGCAAUGAACUCUUAAGUGCCCAAUGAAAAACCACGCAGUGAAAAGUGCCGUGAAGAAAUUGAAACGGGUUUUGUGAACAGCUCUGGGGACCUGAUGGCCGUCAUCCAUCUUCGUCACCAUUAGAAAGCGCACCCACAGUAUGGUCCCUGCAGAAGGGGGAGCUUCCUCAAGGACUGAGGAGGCACUCAGAAAAUAAGCUGGACCAACGUGCAUCCUUUGCUUCCCGGGAGCUUAAAGAGAACAGCAUUUUGGCGAGGUGUUCGAGCUAAAUGCCCAAACGAUCAGCUAAUUACUUGGGUCUGAGCACAGCUGAACAAAUCCACCUUUCCAAGUCACCGCCAGAAGUUCGAGCAACUUCAUUCUGGCUGGAUUUCAGCACUGCACACCAAGAACCAGAUGACCGGGGCCAGGAGGGGCAUUUCUCACUUACCUGCUUCCUUCUGUUAAAGAAAAAAAAAAAAAAAACUACAGUGCAAUCAGUUCUCCUGCCUACUGAUCUGGUGAGGGAUGGAGACAAUAUGAAGCACAUUCAGCCUCACUAGAAAUCACAACCGUGCAAUUAUAAACAGAAAUGAGAGACCGCUCUUUAUCCGCCAGGUUGGCAAGCGUUAAAAAGAUAGAAGGAUCAACGAUAUCUAGAGUUGGGGAGAGCAGGGGGAAUUGGGGACCGCUGGACACUCUCGGUGGGAGUUUUCAUUGGCAAAGCCAUUUCGGAGGCAAUUUGGCAGCUUCCAGCGACAUUUAAAACGGUCAUAGUCUUUGGCCCGGCAAAGUCCUCUUCUAAGCCAGCCUGAGAAACUACCUUGUAGAUAUGUCUGCACAUGUGUACCCAGAUAUAUACAUAUCUAGCUAUAGCUAGCUAGCUAGCUAGAGUGAAGAAUGCAAUCAAUCUAAAUGCCCAUCCAUAGGAGUGUUGUUAAAUAAAUAAAUCAUGGCAUGCCUGUA